CGCGGGGUGGAGCAGUCUGGUAGCUCGUCGGGCUCAUAACCCGAAGGUCGUAGGUUCAAAUCCUUCCCCCGCAA
rnacentral:tRNA from 1 species